CGCACGGGUGCGUAACGCGUAUGCAACCUACCUUUAACUGGGAGAUAGCCCCGAGAAAUCGGGAUUAAUACCCCAUAACAUCCAGGAAUCUCAUGUUUUCUGGAUUAAAGCUCCGGCGGUUAAAGAUGGGCAUGCGUGACAUUAGCUAGUUGGUGAGGUAACGGCUCACCAAGGCUACGAUGUCUAGGGGUUCUGAGAGGAUUUUCCCCCACACUGGUACUGAGACACGGACCAG
rnacentral:rRNA from 1 species